AAUCAACGCUGGCGGCGUGCCUCAGACAUGCAAGUCGAACGCGAAAUUUCCCUUCGGGGAGAAAGUAGAGUGGCGCACGGGUGAGUAACACGUAGGUAAUUUGCCUUUGGGUGGGGAAUAACUCGGGGAAACUUGAGCUAAUACCGCAUAAUGCAGCGGCUCGACAUCGAGACAGUUGUUAAAGCGGGGGAUCGCAAGACCUCGCGCCUGAAGAGAAGCCUGCGGCAGAUUAGCUAGUUGGUAAGGUAAUGGCUUACCAAGGCGACGAUCUGUAACCGGCCUGAGAGGGCGGUCGGUCACACUGACACUGACAUACGGGUCAGACUCCUACGGGAGGCAGCAGUCGGGAAUUUUGGGCAAUGGGCGAAAGCCUGACCCAGCAACGCCGCGUGAAGGAUAGAAAUCCCUCGGGAUGUAAACUUCGCAAGAACGGAAGAAUAAGUGAAAGUUAAUAUCUUUCAUG
rnacentral:rRNA from 1 species